GAUGAACGCUGGCGGCGUGCCUAAUACAUGCAAGUCGAGCGAACAGACGAGGAGCUUGCUCCUCUGACGUUAGCGGCGGACGGGUGAGUAACACGUGGAUAACCUACCUAUAAGACUGGGAUAACUUCGGGAAACCGGAGCUAAUACCGGAUAACAUGUUGAACCGCAUGGUUUAACAGUGAAAGACGGUCUUGCUGUCACUUAUAGAUGGAUCCGCGCCGCAUUAGCUAGUUGGUAAGGUAACGGCUUACCAAGGCAACGAUGCGUAGCCGACCUGAGAGGGUGAUCGGCCACACUGGAACUGAGACACGGUCCAGACUCCUACGGGAGGCAGCAGUAGGGAAUCUUUCGCAAAGGGCGAAAGCCUGACGGAGCAACGCCGCGUGAGUGAAGAAGGUCUUCGGAUCGUAAAACUCUGUUAUUAGGGAAGAACAAAUGUGUAAGUAACUAUGCACGUCUUGACGGUACCUAAUCAGAAAGCCACGGCUAACUACGUG
rnacentral:rRNA from 1 species